rnacentral:rRNA from 1 species
UACGUAGGGUGCGAGCGUUAAUCGGAAUUACUGGGCGUAAAGCGUGUGCAGGCGGUUUGUUAAGACAGGUGUGAAAUCCCCGGGCUUAACCUGGGAAUUGCGCUUGUUACUGGCAAGCUAGAGUGCGUCAGAGGGAGGUGGAAUUCCACGUGUAGCAGUGAAAUGCGUAGAGAUGUGGAGGAACACCGAUGGCGAAGGCAGCCUCCUGGGAUGACACUGACGCUCAUACACGAAAGCGUGGGAGCAAACAGG